rnacentral:rRNA from 1 species
UGACCUCAAAUCAGGUAAGAAUACCCGCUGAACUUAAGCAUAUCAAUAAGCGGAGGAAAAGAAAAUAACAAUGAUUCCCCUAGUAACUGCGAGUGAGGAGGGACAAGCUCAAAUUUUAAAUCUGUUAGGUCUUACCUAAUCAGAAUUGUAAUUUGAAGAAGCGUUUUCUACGUUUUUGUUCGGCCCAAAUCUUUUGGGAUAAAGUAUCAUGGAGGGUUAGAAUCCCGUCCGGCCGAAUCAUGACGUUUUACGAUACGUUUUCAAAGAGUCAAGUUGUUUGGAAUGCAGCUUAAAAUGGGAGGUAAAUUUCUCCUAAGGCUAAAUAUUGGCGAGAGACCGAUAGCGAACAAGUACCGUGAGGGAAAGAUGAAAAGCUCUUUGAAAAGAGAGUUAAAUAGUACGUGAAAUUGUUGAAAGGGAAACGAUUGAAGUCAGUCGUACCGACGAGAAAUCAACCUUUUAAGUAUGAUCUUGUGGGCAUUUAAGAGUUUAACCCCUUUGUGUUUUCAAGUUCGUGCAUUUUGGGCGUACUUUUUCGUAUGGUAGGUUAACAUCAAUUUUGAUCAUUAUAAAACGAUUGGAGGAAUGUGGCUUCGAUUUAUCGAAGUGUUAUAGACUCUGAUAGAUGUAAUGAUUGGGAUUGAGGAUUGCAACGAAUACCUUUCGGGGCUAUCCGUCUGAUCUCUGAUUGUUACCUUGGUGCCGAAAACUUGCUUACGGUUUUUGAGGUUGAUGGUCAAAAGGUUAGAACGGAUUAAAUUCGUCAAGGAUGUUGACGUAAUGACUUUAAACGACCCGUCUUGAAACACGGACCAAGGAG